rnacentral:lncRNA from 1 species
UAGGGGCCUUAGUUCAUAGUUCAGACAUGCGACUAAAGAUAAAGGCGAGUAUGACUGCUAGUUCUUCCUCGAUGGAUGAUAAGAUAAAGAGGCAUCUCACAUGAUUAAAGGAGAAGAUUAUCCAAUUCACUGAGAUCAUCUCUAGAUUGGCGAUACCUUCAGCACAAGUACAAGUGUCAACAACUCUAGUUGUAAAACUAUCUCAAAUGUUUGGAGAAGAAGAUCCUCCAUCCAACAAAGAGGAC